AAUGACCGAGUGUUCGGAGUUCCCUGAACGCAGCGCGGCUGCGCUGCCAUGUUGUUGUUCUAUUUCGGGGCAGCGGCGGAGUUUGGAGCCUUGCUGCCUGUGGACGGUCUAUGAAGGAGACGCACCGCUUUUUUCGCCUUAUCUGGACUACGACACAGAUCCGAGCCACGAAAAGUUACCACAGGACGCCAGGUGAGGUGAAGAUGGUGGACCGGCUUGCUAACAGCGAGGCCAACUCCAAGCGCAUUGCAGUAGUGGAGAGCUGCUUUGGUGCCGCUGGUCAGCCGCUGGCCAUCCCCGGCCGGGUGCUGAUCGGUGAGGGUGUCCUCACUAAGCUGUGUCGCAAAAAGCCCAAAUCUCGGCAAUUCUUCCUCUUCAAUGACAUCCUGGUCUAUGGCAACAUCGUCAUUCAGAAGAAGAAAUACAACAAGCAGCACAUCAUCCCGCUGGAGAGCGUUACCAUCGACACGGUCCCAGACGAAGGUGACCUGCGCAACGGCUGGCUCAUUAAAACGCCCACCAAGUCCUUUGCCGUGUACGCUGCCACUGCCACCGAGAAGUCUGAGUGGAUGAACCACAUCGGCAGAUGUGUGGAGGAGCUGCUGCAGAAGAGUGGCAAGGCCCCCAUUGGAGAGCACGCUGCCGUCUGGGUGCCAGACUCCGAGGCUUCUGUGUGCAUGCGCUGCCAGAAGGUGAAGUUCACGCCUGUCAGUCGGCGCCACCACUGCAGGAAAUGCGGCUUUGUAGUUUGCGGGCCAUGUUCGGACAAACGGCACCUCCUGCCCAGCCAGUCGUCCAAACCUGUUCGAGUCUGCGAGUAUUGCUACUUGCAGCUGACGUCUGGAAACCACACGCCCCGCUCAGAAUGCAUCAGCCGGCCAGGGUCAAAGUUCAACAACGACAACCUGACAGACGAGGAGGAAGAAGAUGACAGCAGUGACUGAGAUGGACCUGACCCGCCUACACCCUGACCCGUCCCCUGCUUCUAUUGACCACCAUCAAGCAGCAAUGGUGGAAUUAAGCCGGUGACCAUCAGAACUGGGCUCAGUCCACCACUCUCUCACUCUUAAUUAGUCACUACAGAACCCAACGGUGCUGAUCAGACAUCCCCUCCUUUGUGCUCCUGCACUACACAAAGUCUUUAAUUGUAACUUCAGCUCCCCUGUCCUUCAGAUCACAACAGGCUCCAACCACACACAGGCGGGUGGUUAACGUCACACUGCUUCGAGUUCUCAAAGUUCAGAUACAACAACCUGAAAAUGAAGAUGACUCCUGCUUCAUUGUUACAGCCCUUGAGAACAUUCUGGACGUGGUACUUAAUUCCCAGGAGCUCCGUGAGAGAUGCUCCACAGCAGUGGCUGUGGAUUUGCUGAGGUGCAUCAAUGUUAGCAGCCUCAUCUUCUGCCUUACAGAACGGCAGGUGUAUGUGUUGAGUCUGCCUGAUUCCUCUCUGGGCAGCAGUGUUCCUCCUGCCUGGUGGAGUUGCGUCAUCUCCUAGGAUCAGAGCCAUCUGAUCACCACAGCUUUCCUAUGAAGAGCUCAGUCUGCUGCUCGUAAUCUUUAUGCGAGUGAAACAAAUUGUGUGAGCAGUCGCUGCUUUGGAAAACUAUGAGCAACUAUUUGGUGCAGCUGGAGUGGAGCUCAGCUUCCCUCCCGUUCUCACAAGUAUGUCACCAGUUUCAUUGGCCUUUCAUCAACCUCAACAUCCAAACACGGACCAAUGUCCAAGAGGUUAAAACAUUCCACAUGGGCAUUAAAUGUAUCCACAGGUCCGGGCCGGUCCGACUUGCAACAGGACCAGGACCAGAACCUGAACGUUAGAAAGGGAGUUUAUUUUUUCCUUCCCUGCAGGUGCUGGGUCCUGCUAAUAAUAGCAGCUCCAGAGCCACGUCAGCCGAUGACAUGUGCUUAGAAAACAUUACUCCCGUUUCCUCUCCAGCACCAUCCUGGGAGGAGAGCAGGAAAAACCAUACGCCAGCAGCUUAAGCGGGUCAACGGGCGCGCAGUGUGAGCUCAUCAUUACAGCAGUGACCACAGGUUUGUGAGGCUAAAGGGCAGCGUGAUGUCUGAUCACUGCAGCAGAGUUUGACCUUGAAGCUACAGUCGUGCAACAACAGGAACAAAACCAAAUGGCUUUUCACAGGCUGCAGGUAGAGCUGCUGCUCUGGAGGAGUCUUCUCUGGCCACGUGUUUGCAGGGAGGGAAAGAGAUGCUUUAGAUUGUAUACAUUUGUAGUUGAUGUCGAUGAUUAUGUUGAUGCAGUAACAGCAGCCAAAGUAAUUAGAGCAAUCAACAAGUUAAUGAUCACUAACCUUCUGUCCUUUUUAAAGUUGUGGUGCUAAAAUAGGAAACCACUUCUUUGUUAAAACCCAGUAGCACAAAGUCUGGCACACGGAUGUCACCGCAACUCUGUCGGAUGUUCCAAAGUGAAUCUUUGUUUUAAUCCUGUCGAUGUUUGUACAGAAUUAUUUGGGUUGAAUUGCGAUUAGUUCUUCCUGUCAACCACAUUCUCUUUUCCUACUCCGUAUCUGUAGACAUCACCUUUAGAGCAACAAGUGGAUGAAAAGUGAACAGGAACUGGCAGCUUCCUGUCAGUUUCUUUACCAUCAGGUACCAGACACAACAGUUUUCCCAGCUUUUUAUUAAUAAGACUAAAAGUAGACAGAACAUUUGGUGGCUGGAUUCUAAAGUUAACCAGCGGUUAGUGAGAAUAUAAUCGUCACCUCUGUGUUGGUGACCCAACUUACUGUCUGUGUGAUGUUUUACUCUGUUGGUAAAGGUCAGAGGAUACCUAAGCAAAAUACUACAAACUUUAAUUAAUGUGCUGUUUGUCCCCAGCUAUGAGAAGCAGAUAUGACAUUACUUCAGCUCAGAACGGAAAGCUUCCAAGAAUGAAAAUGAUUAGUUACUGUAGUAACAGAGUUUAGUUACCGGUGCUGCCUUCAGGGCCUUUUAAAUGUUUGAUGAUGAGAAAGAGAAAAAUGGCAAAAUCUCAACCUGUUAAAUGACAGUGAAUAAACCAGAUGAGAAAUGCUGGUUUAGCAGUAACACAGAUUUUGUGUAUUCAUUUCCAAAAGUAAAUUAAAAAGCUGCAGAUCCUGAAAUUUACAAACCGUAAAGAAAUUAUGUAAGUUUAUGCAGGUUGUUUGUCUGUCUCUGGAGUUUUAAGGUUCUCUCUGGUGUAAUCUCUGUGUUUUUUUUGUUUUAAUUAAUUUUAAAAGUUUCUAAAAAAGGGCUCCAAUCAAAAUGUAACCAGCAUAAUACUAAAUACUAAUGAAAUAUUUGAGCAUAUUAUAAUGUUUGCUGACCUGUUGUUUUCUGUUUUGAUUAAUCUCAGAAAAAAGACAUUAAACAACCAUCAAGCCGAUUGAAUAGUAGUUGUUUACAUAAAGAAUAUAUAAUAAUCAGUCAUAUAAGGGAAUUAGCCACAGGAUGAGUCAAUUUUAAUAAACUGAAUGUGCUAUAUAAUGCAGCUGAAGAGUCUUCAGGCAGCAUUUCCAAAGUGAUCUUUGUCUUUAUGGAAGCUGCCCAUUAAAUUUACAAUGAAUUAAAUGACACAGUCGCUGAGGUUCCUGAACGUCAGUCAGUAAAUGAAAACAACCAGCAGAGUAGAGAUCUGUGAAGUCCAGUUGGGAUCAGUACUAACCACUAAUUCAAUUAAAUUUUAUUUAUAUAGCGCCAAAUCACAACAAAGUUAUCUUAAGGCACUUUACAAAGUAAGGUUUAAGACCUCACACAACUAAACCCAACAAAUCCCACAUACAGCAAGCAUUUAAUUUGACAGCAACAGUGGAGAGGAAAAACUCCCUCUCUAACAAGGAAGAAACCUCCAGCAGAACCAGGCUGGAUGUGGGCGGCCAUCUGCCUCGAGCGGUUGGGGUGAGAGGAUAGAGAGAGAAAAGCACAGCAACAACAACAACAAGCAACAACAGAGAACCGGCAGAACGGUUGGACCUGGGACUGGAUACAGGCAGGAUGGUUUGAUCCACAGCUGCUGAUCACAGACACAAAGCUCUAAGUCCGAUGUUACCUGUAGGUGAGGACAGAGUGGGGGAGAGAAAGCGAGCGGGGGAGAAGCAAAACUACUGGAGAGAAAGAGACAAGGUUUGUUAAAAACGGAACAAUGAUGGGAGGUUAUUGGACAGAAGAAGUAGAAGGAAGCGUUCGGCUGGGAGCAUAAGGAACUAUGAGGUCUUUAAGAUAAGAAGGAGCUUUAUCAUUGAGUACUUUGUAGGUGAGUAGGAGAAUUUUAAAUUCUAUCCUACAUUUUACAGACAGCCAGUGCAGAGAAGCUAAUGUAGGAGAAAUGUGAUCUCUCUUUCUAAGUCCUGUCAGAACUCUGGCUGCAGCAUUUUGAAUAAGCUGUAGGCUUUUUAAGGAGCUGUUAGGACAUCCUAUGAGUAAGCAGUUACAGUAGUCCAGCCUAGAGGUAAUAAAUGCAUGAAUCAGUUUCUCGGCAUCGCUCUGAGAUAGGAUGCUUCUGAUUUUAGCUAUAUUGAUGAGCUAUAUAUAUGAUGUAAAAGAGAGAUCCUGAUGACACCAAGGUUCCUCAAAGUAGAAUCUGAAGCUAAUGUUAUGCCAUCCAGGGUGGCUAUCUGACUCAAUAGUGUCUCUCUCAGAUUUUUAGGCCCAACAAUAAGAAUCUCGGUUUUAUCUGAGUUUAGUUGAAGGAAGUUUUGGGACAUCCAGGAUUUGAUGUGUUUUAAACAACCCUGAAUUUUGACUAGUUGAUCUGUUUCAUUUGGUUCCAAAGACAUAUAUAGCUGAGUAUAAUCUGCGUAACAAUGAAAAUUAAUAGAAUGCUUUCUAAUAAUCUCACCUAGAGGAGACAUGUAUAGGCUAAACAGGAUUGGACCAAGCACAGAACCCUGUGGUACUCCAUAGCUAAUCCUUGUGAGGAGAAUUUCUCAUUAACAUGAACAAACUGGAAUCUGUUCAACAAAUAGAAUUUAAAUGAUCCCAGUGCUGUUCCUUUAAUCCCGAUUCUAUGUUCUAGUGUCUGUAAUAGAAUGUUAUGAUCAAUUGUAUCAAAUGCAGCACUAAGAUCUAACAGGACAAGGACAGAAAGUAGACCAUUGUCCGACGCUAAUAGAAGAUCAUUAGUGACUCUAACCAGAGCUGUUUCUGUGCUAUGAUUUUUUCUAAAUCCUGACUGAAAAUCUUCGUACAGGUUAUUCCCACUCAGGUGGUCAGAUAAUUGUUUAGCCAUGAUAUUUUUACAAGAAUCUUGGAAAUAAAGGGUCAAUUUGAAAUGGGCCGAUAGUUGGCUAGUUCUCCAGGGCCCAGGGUUGGUUUGGUUGGUUUUCAAUAGAGGUUUGACCACAGCCACCUUAAAAGCCUGUGUUACAUAGCCUAAAUGUAAAGAUUGGUUGAUUUGAUUUAAUAUGGAUGAGCUGAUUAAAGGUAGAACUUCUUUGAAUAAUCUGGUUGUGAUUGGAUCUAAAAGACAAGUGGACGACUUGGAAGAGUUGAUUAUUGAGGUUAACUCCAUAUGAGUUAUGGGGAAGAAGCUGUCUAGGUAAGACAGAGAAUUUGGUAAAUAUAAAGUUGAUGGAUCUAGACAGUACUUUCUGUCAUUUGGAAGAAGUCGCUGCUGAAUGUUUUUUCUAAUGGUGAUAAUUUUAUUAGUAAAUUAGUUCAUAAAGUCAUUGCUGCUAAGAUUUAAGGGCAUAGUAGACUCAAUACAGCUAUGACUUUUAGUCAGCCUGGCUACAGUGCUGAAAAGAAACCUGGGGUCCCUCAAUUAGGGAGGAAUGAUAUGUUUUUCUAGCAGCACAAAUAUAAUAUAUAUAAUAUAAUAAUAUAGUAUAUAUAUAAUAUAAUAUAUAAUAAAAAAUAUUUUUUUAAUAUAUUAUUAGACUGUCCUUCCAUGCAAUGCAGUUUACAUUUAUUUUGUUGGAACGCCACUGUCUUUCUAGUUGUCUGGUCCUGUGCUUUAGGUUGCGGAUCUCUGAGUUAUACCACGGAGCUAACCUCCUCUUAUUCACUGUCUUCUUCUUCAGAGGGGCCACUGUGUCUAACAUUGUACGUAGAGAAGCUGCAGUGUCAUCUACAAGACAGUCAACCUGUUCAUAAGGAUUAAGGUGACUGUUCUCUGUGGAUCUACAAGACAUUGAGGCAAAAGAUGAUGGAAUCAUCUGCUUGAAUCUGGCAAUAACGUUGUCAGAUAAACAUCUGCUAUAGUAACAUUUCUUUCCAGCUAUUGUAGGGUCAAUUGUGCUAAAUUUAAAACUAGAUAACAGAGGGUUUGGGGAAGAACUAUUAAAUUAUCAAUUUGAACCCCAUAUGUUAGGACAAGAUCGAGGGUAUGGUUAAAACGAUGAGUGGGUUCAUUUACCGGCUGUAUAAAACCAAUAGUGUCUAUUAAGGAGUUAAAAGUAGUGUUGAGUCUCAGAGUGAGGCUCUCAAAUGAGUUAUAACUAUGUUUAGGUUUAGGAGUAAUUAAUAAAUCUGAUUUAUAAAUUGCUGCUACUCCACCUCCACCUGUACUUCUAAGAACAUGAUUGUUGAUGUCACUCAUUGGAGUCGACUCAUUUAAAGUAACAUAUUCAUCCUGCUGCAGCCAGGUUUCAGUGAGACAGAACAGAUCUAUGUGAUGGUCACUUAUCAAGUCAUUUAUUAACAAGGAUUUAGAUGAGAGAGAUCUGAUAUUUAAUAAACCACACUUUAUUAACUUACUGUUACUUUGUUCUAGGAGAGGAACUGUUUUGAUAUUUAUUAAAUUUUGGUAAGUCACUCCUCUUUGAUUUGUGUGUGACUUGUAUAGUUUAGGUGGUCGGGGAGCAGACACAGUCUCUAUGCGAUAACUAAAACUAAGAGUGGGUGGGCUGUAGAGAACAUGCAGAGAGGUGUGUAAGACUGCGACUCUGUGUCCUGGGCUCCACUCUGAGUUGUCACGGAGUGGGGAGACUAAGCAACAUGGCCAUGUUACUAGAAAGCAGAGAGGCUCCUUUCAACGUGGGAUGGACGCCGUCUCUUCUAAUCAGCCCAGGUUUUCCCCAAAAAGUGCUCCAAUUAGCCACAGAGCCCACAUCGUUUGCAGGACACCACCUAGACAAACAGCGGUGGAGCGAUGACAGCCGGAUAUACAUGUCAUUGCUGGUCACAUUGGAGAGAAAAAAAAGCUCCACAUUCAUGAUGUUGCUGGUUUUAAAGUGUGACUGUGCUGCACAUGUUCCUACUAAAUGGAAAUGGUGACUUUGUGUGCUUUAGUCCUUUUAGGCUGUAAAUUAGUUUGUUGUGUUGCCUUUGUUUCUUCAGGGAUGGUUGACCUCUGAUCCCAUUAACACAAACUUUCAUGUCACAGUUUGACCUGCAGCCACUGAGCACCUGGGGUUAAAGGUCAAGGCACUAGCUUGUCAACGGUACAAGCCUUAAGCUGUAAUGCCCUCCACGACCGUGUGAUGGCGCUGCUGUGGGAGUGUGACGUUAAAAACACAAGCUGGAAGCUGAUGCGAACAAAACACAUUUUACACAGUUAAGUUGGGGAAAGUAAUAAAACUAAAGUGAAGAAUUCUCAGUUUCACUGACACUGAAGCAGACCACGAACAGAAACUAAGGUAAGAAUGAUGCUUCUGUUGGUGGUAGUUUUCCCGCACUAUGAACUUAUGAAACAGAUUUAUUUAUUCUUGGACAUGGAAACAUAAAAUGAUUAUUUAAAAUACAAAUUAACUAAUGAAUAUUUGUAGAAUAAAUGCAAUGAUCAAAUACUGAACUGGGUAAUUGUGACUUGAAGCUUUGGGUCAAAGAUGAAAGAAAUUUAGGUGAUGCAGAGUCAGAGGUUCAGCAUUUCUAUUCCAACAUUAAUUAUAAACCCCCUAAUUGUAUUUGGUCGUUAGUGAGGUUGGUGCUGUACAGUACUGAAGAUCUACAAUUAUAGUUAUUCACCUGCAUCCUGUAAGAGCUUGCAUUUGAGUUGGAAAGUUGCCAAACUACAGGAAUUAGUGUCCAUGCUCCAUCAGAUUAGAGAAGAAGAGCGGAUCCUCGACUCCAUUAUAGUUCUCGGCUCGGCUGCAGGUAGAUAGGCUACCGGUUAACACCUGAAUGAUACGAUACCAUUAAUAAAUCAAUUUACAUUUUCCACUAAGGACAAAUGGAUCCGUGCUGGAGCUAAGCCCAAAAAACGCACGUGUUCCACUCCAGGUCAGCCAACGACAUGGUCUGUUGGCCAACCCUCUGGAAAACACGGCUGCAAAGCAGGGAAAGCCUCACCUGCCAGGUCCUUCAAAAACUUUAACAAGUUUUGUGCAUUAGACAAGCAAGAAUUCCCACCUCUCCCGGGUUCCUUACAACACCAGGAGACCAGAAUAACUCCAGUACCACAGAAGCCCUAGCCAUGGUCCAUCUGUGGGACACGGUCUUGGCCCUUGACGAUCUCCGCAACCCAGGGGAGUCUCCACUGGCGCACCCACGACUGCCAUCCCUGAAGAACCAAACUGAAGCUCGACACCAGUAGAGUUCCUGGAUGAUGAUCAUUGAGGACGCCAUCAUCAGACACGUAAAAGCAACACAUGCCCCCAUAACACUGUUUUUCGGGUACCAUAGUCAACCACAUAGCACCAGAAAUCCGUGAUGCACUGGAGGCUCAUUCCACUGUCACCACACGAGAUUCACGUUGGCACAAAUGACAUUACACUGCAGCAGCCGGAGACCCUAAGAAAAGAUUUCCUCAGAACCUUUAACAUCUUGAAACAAAGUUCAGUCCAGUUCCAACUAUCGACUGUGGGGUGGGACGCUUCUUCAGAUUGCUGAGCCUCCACACCUGGCUCUCAGGUAGGCAGGUAGAUGCCAGCAACAUGGUAUGGAUUUUAUUGACAAUUUUAACUUGUGUCCCUGUGUUCAUGGGAACUCAGGGACACUUUUAUAAACAUGAUGGACUACAACUAAUCAUACACAGCUCCAAGCUUCUCUCAUCAAACAUCAACUUCACCAUCCCAAACUAUCGUCAAUAUCAGGAUAACCACCACCAGCUUGGAACUGUCUCACUGUCUCACUUCCACAUCAGCAACGUCCGCAUGUGACUGACUCAUCUUCACAGACAACCCAGGUACUGUCUCCAUCGCUACCACCUGCAGCUCUCCAGAACAUAGUGAAUACUCCAUCAUUCCAAUCAACAAGAGACACAUAACCGAACGUCUAAGCAGCGUCGAUUUAAGCAAUCUGAAGUACAUAUACAUCCAUCCAUCCAUCCAUCCAUCUAUCCUCCAAGCUGCUGAAUCCCAUAUGUGGGAUCGCGGGGGUGCUGAAGCCUAACCCAGCUGGCUAUGGCAAGACAGUCCAUCGCAGGGCAACACAGACGCACGUCUUUGGACUGUGGGAGGAGCCGGAGAACCCAGGGAGAACGUGCAAACUCCACACAGAAGGGCACCAGGCCGCCUCCGGAACCCAGAACCUUCUCACUGUGAGGCGACGGUGCUACCUACCGCACCACUGUGCAAAAUGAUGCCCCACAACAUAAUCAACUGAUGGGCUGAUGGAGCAGCAGCUACACUCAUUAAAACUUUACCACCAGAAUACAGCUUUGUACAAGAGUCAAGGAUUCAUAAAAAAAGAGGCACAGCUACCAUUAUUUCCACAUCACUAGGUUUUAGAAAUAUUACAUUUGACCACUGUAUAGUUUAUAGGGGUUAAAACCCACACACAACAAAGGGCACACGUUAGAUCUGGUUCUUACAUUUAGCCUGUCUGAUCAAGUGUACAUGUUGGCCUUUCUGAUCACUUCUGUGUAUUUUUUUAGCUAGCAUUUUUAAACAAACUAUUUCAACAUAAAAAGUCCAGCGGUGCAGUCAGAACCAGCUGGAGCUCAACAUGCUCAAAACUGUGAUGUUAUGAUGGUGGACUUUAGGAAAAACUGCCUUCCCCCCUCCCCCUCACCAUCCACAAUAACACAGUGUCUACCAAGGACUCAUUCAGGUUCCUAGGGUCCACAUUCUCACAAGACCUGAUGUGGGUCUCCCCACAUAGACACUCUCUGCAGAAUGGCCCAGCAGAGGUUGUACUUCUCAGGAAGUUCAACCUGACCCAGGAGCUGCGGACCAUCGUCUAAACAGCCAUCAUCCAGUCUGUCCUCUGCACCUCCAUCCAGGGAGGCCCUAGCCAAGUUGGCGCCCUAGGCAAGAUCAUGAUUUUGUCAGCAUCACUGCUGAACCCACACACCCCACACACAAACUGCUCAAACUCCUCCCCUCUGGCAGAUGUCACAGAGCCCUAGUCACCAGUGUGGAGUCAAAUUAGGGACCUGGGUAACAUCCUGUUAGGUGUCCGUGUCAAUGCCUUGGUUUACGUUACCUAUCUUUUAGAGCGUGCGCUCUCCGGGACAUAGUAAUCUAUGAACGGAGCGUAGCGUUUUACCUUUGUUUUUGUCAUGUUUUUUGUGAAUGAUUAGGAGCGUUUUGUCCUUUUCCGACCGAAAUGUAGAAUGGGAAGGCAUCGCUUUUAUCUACCAAGCCCCUCUCGUGUGGAAGCACCUCCCUGUUCAGGUUUAAGAAGCUGACACACUCUCCACUCAAAAUCACAGAGACACUACUGAAUCAGAUAGCCACUCUGGAUGGCAUAACAUUACUGUAGCUUCAGAUUCUACUGUAAGGAACCUUGGUGUCAUCUUUGACCAGGAUCUCUCUUUUACAUCAUACAUUAACCAAAUCUCCAGAACUGCCUACAUACAUCUUAUAAAUAUAGCUAAAAUUAUAAGCAUCCUCUCUCAGAGCGAUGCAGAGAAACUGAUUCAUGUCCUAACAGCUUCUUAAAAAGCCUACAGCUUAUUCAAAAUGCUGCAGCCAGAGUUCCGAUGGGACUUGGAAAGUCCCAUCAGAAAUAAAGCUGGUUCCUCUUCAGGUUCGAGAAGCUGACACACACUCUCCACCUUUAAGAUUAGGCUUAAAACCUUCCUUUUUGAUAAAGCUUAUAGUUAGAGAUGGUUCAGGUCACUGGCACUGAUUGUUAGUCACAGGAACCAUCUCUUAGUUAAGCUGCAAUAGACAUAGACUGCUGGGGGACUUAAUUUAUACACUAAGCUCCUCUGUUUCCUUCUACCUCUUCUGUCCAAUAACCUCCCAUCAUUGUUCCGUUUUUAACAAAACUUGUCUCUUUCUCUCCAGUAGUUGUGCUUCUCCCCCGCUCGCUUUCUCUCCCCCACUCUGUCCUCACCUACAGGUAACAUCGGACUCAGAGCUUUGUGUCUGUGAUGGGCAGCUGCGGAUCCAACCAUCCUGCCUGUGUCCAGUCCCUUAUCCAGCCAUCCUGCAUUUAUCCAGUCUGUGGUCCAACCAUCCUGCCUGUGUCCAGUCUCUGGUCCUGCCUGUGCUCUAUUGUUGCCUGUUGUUGUUGCUGUGUUUUUCUCUCUCUCUCUCUCACCCCUCACCCCAACCGGUCAGGCUGCUUUGACCCGAAUGGAACAGGUCCAGGUCCACUAAGCGCGGCCCCUGCCUUCAAAAUAAUUGGAAAUAUUGAAGCGAUGCUUUUUAGAAAGGAAGCUGCUAUCUGAAAGAAGAUUGUCCCGGUUGAUGCUUAUGAAUCAUUAUUGUGGUGGGAGCAAAUAGAAACACAACGGUUUGAUUAGCAGUUAUUACCCACACAGUUCUGCUCCGCUUUCUGCACAUCAGAACCUAAUGAGCAGCUCAUUCAGAAACCACACACUCUCCUCCUACAGAGUCACUGGCUACAUCCAUGGUGAGAUGAGUUUCUCUCACCUCAGUCACUCUGGUCUACCUUCAGGAGCCUCGUUCCUUUCUCUUGUGACUCCUGUGCUCUUUAAGUACCACUACUUACUCAUACACAGUACUUCUACUGUGUUUGUUGUGCAACAAAGACUUUUGAGAGUAAGAUGAAAGAUUGAAAAGUUGUACCUCAGCUUUAACUUGAAGCGGAACAUCAGUCAGGGUUAUCUGGUGCAGUCAUCCUGGUGACAAAUCGUACCCGACCAUAACAGAACCUGUGAAAGGGUUCAUUGGAUCUCGGGGUUGGUAACAGGAGACAAAGAAUGGAAAUCGGCUCAUUGUGGAAAGAUUUGUCAUGUUUCUGUUUUCAUCCGUGGCUGAAACCUUUGAGUAAAGCGGGCCAGUUAACUGUGUAGUUGGGACCCAGAACCAAAUACAAAAGAUGGACAGAGGGAAGAAGUUCAGCUGUCGUCCUCCAAGAUGAGUCUUGAAAAAGCAGUAAAAUAACAACUGAUCAGCAUGGUCAGAUUCAUUUCACCUGCUUGUAGAGUUUAGCUUCAUAUGUGACUCAAACUCUGUGACUUCUUUUUAACACCGUUGGUGAAUUUAAAGGGCCCAUAUCAUGCAAAAUCCACUUUUUAGACAUUUUGGAGCGUCCCUAUGACUCUAUGGGUCACAUAUACACACACUGAGCACGGUAGAAAUGCAUUUCCUGCUUUUUUCACAUUUUGAAAACGUAAAUUUUCUCAUCCAAUGAAAACAGCCACGACCUACUCUGAGGCCGUGUCCCAGUUGUCGUCACAUUGGUUGAAAGUUCUCCUUGCAAAUCCUGAACCACCACCCCCACAAUGAUCCCGAACCAAAACUGGUCUUCCGCCAUUUCCCCCCUCUCACUCACCGUGAACAGACCAGCACGGCAGCGCCCAAGUCCUCCCAUAGAAAUAGUUCGGUUCUUAGGUGUUCUAACCAACACCAAAGUCUCUUCACUUUACCAAGGGAUCAACAAGUGAGGAUUUGUGGGUCACUUUUAUUUUUAACGGACCGGUGCCAGAAACACUGCCUCAGCAUUUAUACGUAUGUGCAUUUCAAACGAGGGUGCGUACAAUGCUGGAUUUGUUUCACGGCUCCUGUUGGAAAAAAAGGACCUAUUCAUAAAGUCCGUCAUCCACUCACUGAAGUAAGUACAUGCUUGAUAUUUAUAAUGUUUUAAAAUGUUAGUUUGUCCGUUUAAAUGUAGUAACCUAUGUGUGGGGCAAGUUACUAGCUAGCUAUGCUAACGGCUACAGCCAUUCGACCGAGCCUUUGUCCCCUUCAAAUGUGCUCAUGUGGGCUCCUGCAGCCACACACCUGUGUGGAGAAAAGCUAAUGAUUAUCGUAACGGCAUCGAGCGGCUACAGGCAGGGAGCGGUGGGUCUAGCGUCUGUCCUUUUUCUGUAAUCACAUACACCUGCGGGGAACAGCUGAUCUUUAUCGCCCUUCCAGCGGCGACAGACAGGAAGCGGUGGAUCUAGCUCGCUGUAGUAAGUUUGUGCUUGAUACUUGUGAUAUCUAAAUAUGUUAGUUGGGUCUGUUUAAAAUGCAGUAACCCACAUGUGAGACAAGCUAAUCGCUAGCGUCGCUAACGGCUACAGUGAGUCAACUGAGCCUUUGUCCCUUUCAAAUGUGCUACUCUGAGUUGGUGCAAUCACACACCUGUGUGGGGAACAGCUAAUAGCCAUGGGCCUUCGAUCGGCGACAGGCAGGAAGCGGUGGAUCGAGCUUUUGUCCUGUUGACGUGCUGCCGCUCCUGUUUGUGUGUUGCGUUAGCCGUUAGCAUGCCUUUAGGCCUUUGCACUUUAGAGCUACAGCUGGUCGAUCGCUACAAAAAGAACCUGCAGAUGAACGCGGUUAUGUUUAUUACCCCGUCCUGUGUCACAGCCUAAAUCAACUUGUGAUUUGGGGUUAUGUCAUUGUUCUAUCAAAUUCUAACAUGAUUAGUUGGAAUGAUUACUGUGUUGUGUUUCAAGCUUAGUUGCUAAUUAGUCACAUCUCUACAAUACCUGCUGCUUAUCUGGUCAGUUACCUAUAGCUUGUACCAUAGCCAUUAUAUUUGUAGGACCAAUACAAUUUACAGUAAAUGUAACAGUCUUUUCUAUACUGUAGGAGGGCAAAUCCCAGUUACCUACAUGCAAGGAGGCUGUCAAACAGAGAAAUCACUGCAGACUGUUGGUACACAGACAUCUGCUGCCCAGCUCAGGAGUGAAGGUAUGUAAGUUUGUAUGUACCAACAGUAAGAUAGGUAAUAGAAGAUUUUAAUUGGUAUAUACUGUUUAGAUUUUAUAUUUGAAUUGUAACAACUGUUUAUCUGUUGUUUUAGCACAGACAGGCCUGUCCUCUUGUUUGGUUUAAUUUUUUGUCUGGUAUUGUGUGUUCUUACAUUAGAGAAGGUUUUGACCUACAUAAUAAUUAACAUUUCACUAAUCUACAAUUCUGAUUGCACUACCUUUUGUUUUGAUGAGGUGAUGGUGAGGACAGCCACAGCUUCCAUCUGGUAGAGGACUGCUUCCACUCAGUCUUCCAAAUAGUGAUGAGAACAAGGAUCACCACAUCUCCCUGUUUACCCUACUUUCAUGCAUUUCGUCUGCAAGGCCCUGCAAAAGCUUCUCCUUCGUCCUCAAACCCCCAGACUUCUUAAUUAACUCAGUAACCUAUACAUUGCACAUUGGAGUGUGAAGGUAACAGUUUGUUCUAGCUUUGGAGUAGUGGUGUAUUUUUUUGGUUUACAAUAAAGUUGGCUUUAACUAUUA